UACGUAGGGUGCAAGCGUUAAUCGGAAUUACUGGGCGUAAAGCGUGCGUAGUCGGUUAUUUAAGUCGGAUGUGAAAUCCCCGGGCUCAACCUGGGAAUUGCAUUCGAUACUGGAUAGCUAGAGUUCGGCAGAGGGAAGUGGAAUUUCGGGUGUAGUGGUGAAAUGCGUAGAUAUCCGAAGGAACAUCAGUGGCGAAAGCGACUUCCUGGACCAGAACUGACGAUCAGGCACGAAAGCGUGGGGAGCAAACAGG
rnacentral:rRNA from 1 species